UGGGGAAUAUUGCACAAUGGGCGAAAGCCUGAUGCAGCAACGCCGCGUGAGUGAUGAAGGCCUUCGGGUUGUAAAGCUCUGUCUUCUGGGACGAUAAUGACGGUACCAGAGGAGGAAGCCACGGCUAACUACGUGCCAGCAGCCGCGGUAAUACGUAGGUGGCAAGCGUUGUCCGGAUUUACUGGGCGUAAAGGAUGCGUAGGCGGAUACUUAAGUCAGAUGUGAAAAUCCCGGACUUAACUUGGGAACUGCAUUUGAAACUGGGAAACUAGUGUGCGGGAGAUGAAAGUGGAACUCCUAGUGUAGCGGUGAAAUCCUUAGAGAGUAGGAAGAACACCAGUGGCGAAGGCGACUGUCUGGACCGUAACUGACGCUGAGGCAAGAAAGCGUGGGGAG
rnacentral:rRNA from 1 species